AGCAGUCGCCGCGGUAAUACGUAGGGGGCUAGCGUUAUCCGGAUUUACUGGGCGUAGAGGGUGCGUAGGUGGUCCUUCAAGUCGGUGGUUAAAGGCUACGGCUCAACCGUAGUAAGCCGCCGAAACUGGAGGACUUGAGUGCAGGAGAGGGAAGUGGAAUUCCCAGUGUAGCGGUGAAAUGCGUAGAUAUUGGGAGGAACACCAGUAGCGAAGGCGGCUUUCUGGACUGCAACUGACACUGAGGCACGAAAGCGUGGGUAGCGAACAGGAUUAGAUACCCCCGUAGUCCCUGUCUCUUAUACA
rnacentral:rRNA from 1 species